GACAGCCAGGGGUCGGGUGGGGGUUUCUGUCUGCCGAAAAUCCUCCUCCUGUGGGGAAAAGACGGCAGACUUCAGACAAUGGUGGUUGGACAUUUGCCCUGCCCCUUAUUAUAUGGUCAUGUCCACCCCACUCACUUCAGUGGGCCUCCGUUUCCUCACGGGGUUGUUAAAAUGCAUUAAUCAUUAAAAUUAUUGUUUGCCUGGCACAUAAUGGCACUUAA